rnacentral:rRNA from 1 species
AUUGAACGCUGGCGGCAUGCCUAACACAUGCAAGUCGAACGAGUGGCGGACGGGUGAGUAAUGUCUGGGAAACUGCCUGAUGGAGGGGGAUAACUACUGGAAACGGUAGCUAAUACCGCAUACCAUCAGAUGUGCCCAGAGGGGAUUAGCUAGUUGGUGGGUUAACGGCUCACAAAGGCGACGAUCCCUAGGUGGUCUGAGAGGAUGACGAGCCACACUGGAACUGAGAAACGGUCGAAAUGCCUACGGGAGGCAGCAGUGGGAAAGAUGGCACAAUGGGCGAAAGCCGGAGGCAGCCAUGCCGCGGGUAUGAAGAAGGCCUUCGGGUUGUAAAGUACUUUCAGCGGGGAGGCGUUACCCGAAGAAGAAGCACCGGCUAACUCCGUGCCAGCAGCCGCGGUAAUAC